UACGUAGGGUGCGAGCGUUAUUCGGAAUUACUGGGCGUAAAGCGUGCGCAGGCGGUUUUGUAAGUCAGAUGUGAAAUCCCCGGGCUUAACCUGGGAAUGGCAUUUGGGACUGCAAGGCUUGAGUGCGGCAGAGGAGACUGGAAUUCCUGGUGUAGCAGUGAAAUGCGUAGAUAUCAGGAGGAAUACCGAUGGCGAAGGCAGGUCUCUGGGCUGACACUGACGCUCAUGCACGAAAGCGUGGGGAGCAAACAGG
rnacentral:rRNA from 1 species